UCACCUGCAAAGCAAACGUGAAAACAUUCACACAACCCCACAUCAAGAACAAGGAGCUGGACCUCGAAGUGUGCCACCAGGCAACACUGUAAGGUGCGGGCGACGCUCAGACUUCCUCCUGGAUGAGACAUUCAGACACAGAAUCCUCUCAGCUCCCCUCUGACUUCCUCGCAUCCCACACUGAUACUCAGUUUGUAACUUCCUCUCCUGCACCACCUCCCACUUCAGAGUAAAAGGAAAUGUUUUCACUCCGUGACAAACAGUGACAGCAAGGAAGUCAGUCCGCUCUUUGAAUAAACAGCCACUCCUUUUACAGGCUUGAUUUCUGAGUGCCCGUACAGUGCUGGUCAAAGCAGGGUACUAUCAGGGCUACGCUGCACCACCCUUCCCCUCUUUUGAGGACCUAAAAAUUCCUGGGAGAGAUUCAAGUGUUAGGCCAAAAAAUAAAUAAAAUAAAAAUGAACUUAAAUAACCCAUUUUAAAAAUUUUUCAAUCUCAACCGUUAAUUCUUUCGAAAAAUCAGUUUUUAUCAAAUGACCCUUUUGUCUCAUAAAAAGGUCCGGAGUUAAAAGCAAGGCUCAUUGUGAGCAUGAUGGCACACAUAUACAAUCCCAGCACUAAGGAGAGAGAGUCAGGAGGAUGAAGAGUUCAAGGCCAUGCUCAGCUACACGGCACAGAGGUUUUUGUGAAAGGCUCUGGACAUCUGGUACCUGGACUACACUCUGCCCAGCUCGGGAGCUCACGGCCUUUCAGAGUUUUCAGUCACAUUUGAAUUUUUUGCUUUUCUUUUCCAUGAGUCAAAUUAGAACUCGAAGACAAACAAGAACAAGAGACAGUGCUGACAAACGUGUCUGUGUUCAACACAUCUCUCAGACCCUCUGAAACCUCAGGGGCUAGGGCUUCCUCCAGUUAAGGAGAACAUCCCCAACAACAGGCGACAACAGGCAAGGGCUUGACCAGCACCUCACAGGCAGAGCGCUUCCUGCUGUGUUUCAUGACAACCUUGUGUGCAUACUCGGGUCUGAGACAAAGACAACAGCCAGUUAUGGAUCCUUGGCCAAACUGAUCAGGGUAUAGACAGAGACAUCAACCUGUCACACGGGCAGGUGCUUACACUCUUCUAAGACCAUAGCUGCUUAACACUUCCCUUUAUCGUUGCAAGUGAAACUGUCUACACAGUAUCAAAAGAUGCCACCUAGCUCUCCGACCGUAUCUUAAUCAAGUCGUCUAGAAGUUUAACCUGCUUUGCCUUUGGACCUUUUGGGCUGUUGGUGUUUGUCAUUUUCUGUUGCAUUUGUUCAGCUUCUAGUUUUCUCCAUUUCCUUUCAAGCCUCAAACAGAAAGCCACAACCGCCACCUUUCUUUAGAAUGCCUCUAACAAAUGGAUGCUUAGAGAGCAGAAGAGCUUGCCUGUUUCCAAGGACAAGGCAGAAGGGGAGCAGCACUCCCCACAUGGGAUCUGCCAUCACCAGGGUAAAACCCCCGGGAAUCGAAGUUCAGAUAACUGAACAGGGUAAGGAAGAAUGUCUAUUGUCCUUGCAGAGUCCCCUGGCAGUAGGAGUAGUGGUGGCAGUAGGAGUAGUAGUAAUGGUAAUGGUAGUUGUUGUUAUUAUUAUUAUUAUUAUUAUUAUUAUUAUUAUUAAAUACUUUAAGGCCA